GAUGAACGCUGGCGGCGUGCCUAAUACAUGCAAGUCGAGCGAACGGACGCGAAGCUUGCUUUUUUGAUGUUAGCGGCGGGCGGGUGUGUAACACGUGGAUACCCUACCUAUCAUACUGGUAUAACUUCGGGACACCGGCGCUAAUACCGGAUAAUCUUUUGAACCGCAUGGUUCAAAAGUGAAAGACGGUCUUGCUGUCACUUAUAGAUGGAUCCGCGCUGCAUUAGCUAGUUGGUAGGGUAACGGCUUACCAAGGCAACAGUGCAUAGCCGACCUGUGAGGGGGUACGGCCACACAGGAGCUGAGAGACGGUACAGGCACCGACGGGAGGCAGCAGUAGGGAAGGGAGCCAGAAGGGCGAAAGCUUGACGGAUGAGCGCCGGGUGGGUGAUGAAGGUCUGCGGGUCGGAAAACGGUGUUAGGGGGGAAGAACAGAUGUGUAAGUAACUGAGCGCAUCUGGACGGUACCUAAUCAGAAAGCCACGGCUAACUACGG
rnacentral:rRNA from 1 species